rfam:Ovis aries breed Texel chromosome 6, whole genome shotgun sequence.
UCCCUGGUGGCUCAGAUGGUAAAGAAUCUGCCUGCAAUGCAGGAGACCCAGGUUCCAUCCCUGGGUUGGGAA